AUGCCAUGGUGUGGGCAUUCUCUUUAGAGGUCUUUGUACCUUUCCCAUGCAUCAUAAAGUGAUUUUCCUUCCUUUUACCAGAAAGUAUUCAACUCUAUCCUCAAUUU